UACGGAGGGUGCAAGCGUUAUCCGGAUUCACUGGGUUUAAAGGGUGCGUAGGUGGGCAGGUAAGUCAGUGGUGAAAUCUCCGGGCUUAACCCGGAAACUGCCGUUGAUACUAUUUGUCUUGAAUGUCGUGGAGGUGAGCGGAAUAUGUCAUGUAGCGGUGAAAUGCUUAGAGAUGACAUAGAACACCAAUUGCGAAGGCAGCUGGCUACACGAAUAUUGACACUGAUGCACGAAAGCGUGGGGAUCAAACAGG
rnacentral:rRNA from 1 species